AUGGGUAUUAAACUUUCUUUCAAAGCCGACAGGAGCUGGGUCUUUAAAAUCACCGCCGUCUCAUUACAGAGUGAAAGCAGCAGUUCCUCCUUAAGGUCAGAGAUUGCAGCAUCUGAGGGCCUCUUCAAAAGAAGACGUAGUUGAUGAAGGCGUUCUGGAGCAGGACCAGAAAGACCACGACCAAGCAGCCUUGAGAUCUUUGGCAGCGUCUCCCUCAGGUCCCUCUCUAUCUCCCCAGACAUCCACCAACCACUGGAACACAUCUCCAAAGUUCUGCUGGGCCAGCUCAGCUUCCCCUCAGAAGAAGUUCCGCCAGAUGAAGGAGCCUUUUGAGAGGCAGCUGGCAUCGUGAUUGGACUGUACUUUGGUCUGUUCCAAUCCAGCUUCAGCUCCAGAGACGGCAGGCGGGACGAGUCAACGGAGGCCUGGUGGACGAAGGCAUGCAGCUGAGUACAAUCCAGAAAACAACAGAGGAGGAGUGCAGCGGCCCAGGGCCAGAACAAACAGAGUAGCAUCAUAUGUCUCUUAGAAAACAUCAUAGUAUAGCCUUUGGUAUGAAAAAAACGCCAUCAUAUACAUCGUAUAUUGUACAAAUAACAAGUCAAAGGAAAGAGACAUACAUUGUAGAAUUGUAGUAAUUGUGGGCUGACUGAUUUACUGAUUAUCAGUAUUUUAUUUUUUACUGAUUUACGGUAAUAAAUACAUUUAAAAAUGGCA